rnacentral:rRNA from 1 species
AUUGAACGCUGGCGGCAGGCCUAACACAUGCAAGUCGAGCGGAUGAAGGGAGCUUUCUCCUGGAUUCAGCUGCGGACGGGUGAGUAAUGCCUAGGAAUCUGCCUGGUCUUUGAGGCUAACGUCCGUAAACGGGCGCUAAUACCGCAUACGUCCUGAGGUAGAACGUGGGGGAUCUUCGGACCUCACGCUAUCAGCUGACCCUAGGUCGGAUUAGCUAGUUGGUGAGGUAAAGGCCUACCAAGGCGACGAUCCGUAACUGGUCUGAGAGGAUGAUCAGUCACACUGGAACUGAGACACGGUCCAGACUCCUACGGGAGGCAGCAGUGGGGAAUAUUGGACAAUGGGCGAAAGCCUGAUCCAGCCAUGCCGCGUGUGUGAAGAAGGUCUUCGGAUUGUAAAGCACUUUAAGUUGGGAGGAAGGGCAGUAAGUUAAUCCCUUGCUGUUUUGACGUUACCAACAGAAUAAGCACCGGCUAACUUCGUG